rnacentral:rRNA from 1 species
GACGGAGGGUGCAAGCGUUGUUCGGAUUGACUGGGCGUAAAGGGCGUGUAGGCGGUUGGUCAAGUCUGAUGUGAAAGCCCGGGGCUACAGCCCCGGAAGGGCAUCGGGAAACUAGCCAGCUGGAGCGCGAUAGAGGAGGGUGGAAUUCCUGGUGGUAGCGGUGAAAUGCGUAGAUAUCAGGAGGAACACCGGCGGCGAAGGCGGCCCUCUGGAUCGUUGCUGACGCUGAGACGCGAAAGCGUGGGGAGCAAACAGG